GGUAUUGUUUACCCCAUGAUAAGCCCCGGAAACUUAUUAUGCUUAUAUAACAAUGACAGAGUUUUUAAAUAAAAA
rnacentral:sRNA from 1 species